rnacentral:rRNA from 1 species
UACGAGUGCCCCGAGCGUUAUCCGGAAUCAUUGGGCGUAAAGGGUGUGUAGGUGGUUUCGUUAGUCCUCCGUCAAAACCUCGGGCUCAACCCGAGAUCUGCGAAGGAAACGGCGAAACUGGAGGGUGCGAGGGGUGAAUGGAACUCAUGGAGUAGGGGUGAAAUCCGUUGAUAUCAUGGGGAACACCAAAAGCGAAGGCAGUUCACUGGAGCAUUCCUGACACUGAAACACGAAAGCGUGGGUAGCGAAUGGG